rnacentral:rRNA from 1 species
AGAGUUUGAUCAUGGCUCAGGACGAACGCUGGCGGCGUGCCUAAUACAUGCAAGUCGAGCGGAUCUUCAUUAGCUUGCUUUUGAAGAUCAGCGGCGGACGGGUGAGUAACACGUGGGCAACCUGCCUGUAAGACUGGGAUAACUUCGGGAAACCGGAGCUAAUACCGGAUAAUCCUUUCCCUCUCAUGAGGGAAAGCUGAAAGACGGUUUCGGCUGUCACUUACAGAUGGGCCCGCGGCGCAUUAGCUAGUUGGUGAGGUAACGGCUCACCAAGGCAACGAUGCGUAGCCGACCUGAGAGGGUGAUCGGCCACACUGGGACUGAGACACGGCCCAGACUCCUACGGGAGGCAGCAGUAGGGAAUCUUCCGCAAUGGACGAAAGUCUGACGGAGCAACGCCGCGUGAGCGAUGAAGGCCUUCGGGUUGUAAAGCUCUGUUGUCAGGGAAGAACAAGUACCGGAGUAACUGCCGGUACCUUGACGGUACCUGACCAGAAAGCCACGGCUAACUACGUGCCAGCAGCCGCGGUAAUACGUAGGUGGCAAGCGUUGUCCGGAAUUAUUGGGCGUAAAGCGCGCGCAGGCGGUUCCUUAAGUCUGAUGUGAAAGCCCCCGGCUCAACCGGGGAGGGUCAUUGGAAACUGGGGAACUUGAGUGCAGAAGAGGAGAGCGGAAUUCCACGUGUAGCGGUGAAAUGCGUAGAGAUGUGGAGGAACACCAGUGGCGAAGGCGGCUCUCUGGUCUGUAACUGACGCUGAGGCGCGAAAGCGUGGGGAGCGAACAGGAUUAGAUACCCUGGUAGU